CUGUAAAUGAGGAGAACACCGGACGCGUUCACACUUGUUCAAUUUUGGAACAUUGCGCGUUUAUAUUUUGAAUGCCUGUGUUCAGAAAAGGAGUUCUAUUUACGAGUUGAACACUUAUCAUUUGAACGUCAGUGUUCAAUGGUAGUCCUUCUGACUAGACAACAUGAAAGAAUUUGAGUUUUUGACAACUUGGGUAAGUUUUUUGGUCAAUAUAUUGUCAGUUGGGGUUACAUUUACGCAAUUUAACAAGUAAUGGUGCUUAAAUAAUUAAAACAUUUUAAAGUGGAACAUGAUAUGAACAGUAGCGUUCAUCGAAUGUUCUAAUUGAGAACGUUUCUAAAAAUAGAUUUGUGACAAUUUCUGACGUCAUUCAAGUACCACAACAACAACAACAACAAGUAAGCGUUGGCGAAACGCAAGCUGAACACUUUACACUAACAAUGACUAAAAUUGAAGUGAAAACGGAUAGCGAGUAAGUAGUGUUGUUUCAAGCAGUGAUGAAAGAUUUGAACUAUAUAGACUGUAGAUCUACAGAAACUGUUCCAGACUUGCAUACAGAUCUUUGAGGAUAGUGAAGAAUAUGAUUGUCCUGCUAAAUUGGAGACAAAUGAAAACACCCCGCACAAACUGAUGACAUACACUACAGAGGGGAGCAACUGUCCUUUGGUGUUUCGACAUAGACUAUUGAUUAUUGUUUAGAUACUCUCGCAGCAGUUUGUAUUUGCGAAGAAAUUUAAGAAAUUAUUCUUAAUUCAUGUGUUAUGUUAAGAAAACUGCAUUCAUGCACACAAGAAUAUAACACAUAAAAAUACAACAUGUAAUAACAAUAAGUGAAACAAUGCUAGGAUAUUGAGAGACAGGUUAUGUUGCUGUGUGAUUACUCGUAUUUUUGUGGUCUGAAAUGAAACGCAAAAUUCAUGUACAAACAAAUAACUGAAAGAACUUUGUAAAACAGUAUUCAAUUUUUUACAUUUUGAUCAUAAUUGUUAAUCUUAAAAUCUCUUCAUUUGCUUAUCAGGCAUAGAGUUAGAAAAUAAUAAGAAAUUUUGGAUAACAUUAUUCAUUUUGUUAUUGUGAAUAACUAAAGAAUAAUUAAAAAAUCUCAAUAUGAUUCUUUGUUUUAUGACUUAUAUCUGUUGUUUUAUCAGGUGUUCAAAUGUUAACAUAAGUGUUCAUCAGUGUUCUAACUUUUAACAUACCUAAUUUUGAACAUGUUCUAUGCGUUCAAUAUCUGUUGCAUCGUAAUUGAACGCGUCUGGCAUUUAAAAGUAGAACACCUGAGUGUUCAUAACAUGUUCUAUAAUGGAAUGGUUUGGUGUUAAGAUUUUAACGUCAACGUUAAAAUUUGAACCCUAGAUGUUCAUAAGGCGUUAGUAUAUGAACGGUUGGAGACAAAAGUUGAACACUAGUAUUAAGAAAUGGAACGCGUCUUGGCGUUCAAUAUCUGUUGCAAAUAGGCGUUCAAGAUGUGUUCUAUUCUUGAACAUUUACAUUUAC